rnacentral:lncRNA from 1 species
GCAGAGGGCCUGGGGCCUGGGGCGGGUGAGGACAUAUGGACAAUGUGGGCACCACACCUGCCCCUACACUGCCACCCAGGCACACCCAGACACAGGGGACUUCCUUUAGGAACCCCCCAAACUCAUGCCACCCUAGAGUGGGGGCUUGGAGACCCUGAGAUUCCUGAGAAAAGUGAAGCCCCAUUGGACCUCCCUAGACAGCUCUCUCUGCCCUCGUUUAAGCUGCCGACUGGCCCCCGCUCCACAGAAGGUGCCACCCACCUGCCUGCCACUCCCAUCCACUCCCAUGAGACGGAGCUCCCGCCUCAGCCAGCCCAUCAAGACCAGUGUCUGGGCCCACGCUUUGGGGCCAGUUUCUCCAGGGAACCCUGCUCAAAGCAUUGCUCAGGUGCCAAGCCCGAGACCUCGUGAGACACCAGCAGAGACUGCCCCACCCAGCAGGUGACAAGUCUCUCACAGCACCCCAGGAAGCCGCCCUCUGGCCUCUGACGUCCGUCCUCUCCGGGGGCCUCUCCUUCCUUGUGGUUCCGUGUUAAAAAAUCUCCCUCUGUCUUCCCCCUGACCCUCUGACCACAAUGGCCUGGGCUCCCUGUCCCUCUGUGUGCAUGGUGACUUUUGCUGAAAAGCAAACAUCACUGGGGCGCCCAGCCUCGUGGUUUCAGGCUGUGCGGUUUACCUCAUGACGUCAUUUUCCUUCCUCCAGAUAAACCAGAAGAGACUUUACUGCUCAGCUGGUCCUGGGGAAAUGGUGCCUGCCCUGACUCGUGGAAGGUUCAGGGUGGGCAUCUGGGCCGUAGCCAGGGCCGAGAAGAGGUCCCCAGGCUUAGCCAAGGCUCACAGUGACCUGUGUCUAAAGGAACGUUUCUGGCUCCUACUUUGUUAGCAUAGACUCAGACAGCCCAGGGGCUGGGGCUCCCAAGGUGCAGAGGAAGGGUAGGGGGCCACAGCAGCCAGAGGCUUGUCCUGAAGCCCCUGACUGCCACCCCCAGCCACCAGAAAGGGUGGACCUUCUGGACCUUUGUGGCAGACCACCAGGCCCUGAGCCACCACCCACACAGGGAAGGAAGACAGUGGCAGCCCAGCCUGGAGAAACCGCCCCGUCCCCAGACCGGGUUGUCCCUUCUCCACGUCUCCUGUGCUGCCAGCCAGAUGACAGGCCCAAGUCUCAGAGAGGUUUGGGACUCGCCUAAGAUUGCAGCUAGCAAUGGGCCUGGCACGCAGUUGGUACUCGGGAAUGUUUGUUUCCCAGAAAGGAAGGGAGAUGCUACCUUUCCUCCGAGAAGCAACCAGAAGUCUCCAGGCUUGCAAGACAGUUUCCCUCCUGAGGACAGCUGGAGCCGUGACAACGUGGGGCCCUGACUGGGCUGCGCCUCCUCUCUGAGGACUCACCAUAGGAACGAUGACCACUGCCACCAUCACCACGGUGCGGAAUAAUCACUGCACAUCCUGAGCCCCAGCCUAAGCAGGUCCCACAGAUGUCUCAUUUUAAUCCUCUUCCACUUUAAUCCUUGUUAAAAAACAACCUGUGAGGUGGGUGCGGUGGCUCACGCCUGUAAUCUCAGCACUUUGGGAGGCCAAGGCAGGUGGAUCACUUGAGGUCAGGAGUUCGAAACCAGCCUGGCCCACAUGGUGAAACCCUGUCUCUACUAAAAAUACAAAAAUUAGCUGGGUGUGGUGGUGGGCGCCUGUAAUCCCAACUACUCUGGAAGAUGAGGCAGGAGAAUCACUUGAACCUGGAAGGCAGAGGUUGCAGUGAGCCGAGAUCACACCAAGAGCAAAACUCUGUCUCAAAAAAAAAAAAAAAAAAAAAAAGCUGGGCACGGUGGCUCACUCUGUAAUCCCAGCACUUUGAGAGGCCGAGUCAGUUGGAUCACAAGGUCAGGAGAUCGAGACCAUCCUGGCCAACAUGGUGAAACUCUAUCUCUACUCAAUUACAAAAAAUUAGCCGGGCAUGGUGGCAGGUGCCUGUAAUCCCAGCUACUUGGGAGGCUGAGGCAGGGGAAUUGAUUGAACCUGGGAGGCGGAGGUUGCAGUGAGCCAAGAUCGCGCCACUGCACUCCAGCCUGGGUGACAGAGUGAGACUCCAUCUCA